rnacentral:rRNA from 1 species
GACGUAGGGCGCGAGCGUUGUCCGGAUUUAUUGGGCGUAAAGAGCUCGUAGGCGGCUUGUCGCGUCGACUGUGAAAUCCCGAGGCUCAACCUCGAGACGUCGGUUGAAACCGCAUGGCUAGAGUCCGGAAGAGGAGAGUGGAAUUCCCGGUGUAGCGGUGAAAUGCGCAGAUAUCGGGAAGAACACCCGUGGCGAAGGCGGCUCUCUGGGACGGUACUGACGCUGAGACGCGAAAGCGUGGGGAGCGAACAGG